GAACGGGGUCUAWUACCGKAUAACACUCUGUCCCGCAUGGGACGGGGUUAAAAGCUCCGGCGGUGAAGGAUGAGCCCGCGGCCUAUCRGCUUGKUGGUGGGGKGAUGGCCUASCAAGGCGASGACGGGUAGCCGGCCUGAGAGGGCGACCGGCCACACUGGGACUGAGACACGGCCCAGACUCCUACGGGAGGCAGCAGKGGGGAAUAUUGCACAAUGGGCGAAAGCCUGAUGCAGCGACGCCGCGKGAGGGAUGACGGCCUUCGGGUUGUAAACCUCUUUCAGCAGGGAAGAAGCGAAAGUGACGGUACCUGCAGAAGAAGCGCCGGCUAACUACGUGCCAGCAGCCGCGGUAAUACGUAGGGCGCAAGCGUUGUCCGGAAUUAUUGGGCGUAAAGAGCUCGUAGGCGGCUUGUCACGUCGGAUGUGAAAGCCCGGGGCUUAACCCCGGGUCUGCAUUCGAUACGGGCUAGCUAGAGUGUGGUAGGGGAGAUCGGAAUUCCUGGUGUAGCGGUGAAAUGCGCAGAUAUCAGGAGGAACACCGGUGGCGAAGGCGGAUCUCUGGGCCAUUACUGACGCUGAGGAGCGAAAGCGUGGGGAGCGAACAGGAUUAGAUACCCUGGUAGUCCACGCCGUAAACGUUGGGAACUAKGUGUUGGCGACAUUCCACGUCGUCGGUGCCGCAGCUAACGCAUUAAGUUCCCCGCCUGGGGAGUACGGCCGCAAGGCUAAAACUCAAAGGAAUUGACGGGGGCCCGCMCAASCAGCGGAGCAUGUGGCUUAAUUCGACGCAACGCGAAGAACCUUACCAAGGCUUGACAUAUACCGGAAAGCAUCAGAGAUGGUGCCCCC
rnacentral:rRNA from 1 species